AGAUACAGUUCGUGAAAAUGGGUUAAAUUAGCAUUUAGUUGUUUGAAUUGUCAAUGGCGAGUUCAUGUACUGAUGUGGGUUUUCGAUGCAUGUAUUGGGCAUGAUAUGCAGGUCUUGUUGAGUCUGCUCAAGAAUUAGGUGCUAGACAUUCGGCGUCAUUGCUUAGGAAUCACAUGAUAAAGAGUACUUUACUAUCCAGACAUUGGUGAUGAUGAAGAACAAAGCAAAGUAAAGGACGAAAAUGAAAUCAAUGAGUACUGCAAGUUGGGAUGUGCAUUCUCUUUGUGCAAAAAUAUAGCCUCUUCCAAGGAAUUAGAUGAAGCAGUGGAACGUUGUAACGGUCGUUACUUUUAUUGAUAAAAGCUAUCUUUU